ACGUAGGGGGCGAGCGUUACUCGGAAUUACUGGGCGUAAAGCGUAUGUAGGCGGUUGUAUAAGUCUAAGGUGAAAUUUCCUGGCUCAACCUGGGAAGGGCAUUGGUAACUGUUUGACUAGAGUAUGGGAGGGGGAGGGGGAAUUCCGGGUGUAGCAGUGAAAUGCGUAGAUAUCAGGAGGAACACCGAUGGCGAAGGCAGCCUCCUGGGCCAGUACUGACGCUCAUGCACGAAAGCUAGGGGAGCAAACAG
rnacentral:rRNA from 1 species